AUUGAGCGCUGGCGGCAGGCCUAACACAUGCAAGUCGAACGGUAACAGGAAGAAGCUUGCUUCUUUGCUGACGAGUGGCGGACGGGUGAGUAAUGUCUGGGAAACUGCCUGAUGGGGGGGGAUAACUACUGGAAACGGUAGCUAAUACCGCAUAACGUCGCAAGACCAAAGAGGGGGACCUUCGGGCCUCUUGCCAUCGGAUGUGCCCAGAUGGGAUUAGCUUGUUGGUGGGGUAACGGCUCACCAAGGCGACGAUCCCUAGCUGGUCUGAGAGGAUGACCAGCCACACUGGAACUGAGACACGGUCCAGACUCCUACGGGAGGCAGCAGUGGGGAAUAUUGCACAAUGGGCGCAAGCCUGAUGCAGCCAUGCCGCGUGUAUGAAGAAGGCCUUCGGGUUGUAAAGUACUUUCAGCGGGGAGGAAGGGAGUAAAGUUAAUACCUUUGCUCAUUGACGUUACCCGCAGAAGAAGCACCGGCUAACUCCGUGCCAGCAGCCGCGGUAAUACGGAGGGUGCAAGCGUUAAUCGGAAUUACUGGGCGUAAAGCGCACGCAGGCGGUUUGUUAAGUCAGAUGUGAAAUCCCCGGGCUCAACCUGGGAACUGCAUCUGAUACUGGCAAGCUUGAGUCUCGUAGAGGGGGGUAGAAUUCCAGGUGUAGCGGUGAAAUGCGUAGAGAUCUGGAGGAAUACCGGUGGCGAAGGCGGCCCCCUGGACGAAGACUGACGCUCAGGAGCGAAAGCGUGGGGAGCAAACAGGAUUAGAUACCCUGGUAGUCCACGCCGUAAACGAUGUCGACUUGGAGGUUGUGCCCUUGAGGCGUGGCUUCCGGAGCUAACGCGUUAAGUCGACCGCCUGGGGAGUACGGCCGCAAGGUUAAAACUCAAAUGAAUUGACGGGGGCCCGCACAAGCGGUGGAGCAUGUGGUUUAAUUCGAUGCAACGCGAAGAACCUUACCUGGUCUUGACAUCCACGGAAGUUUUCAGAGAUGAGAAUGUGCCUUCGGGAACCGUGAGACAGGUGCUGCAUGGCUGUCGUCAGCUCGUGUUGUGAAAUGUUGGGUUAAGUCCCGCAACGAGCGCAACCCUUAUCCUUUGUUGCCAGCGGUCCGGCCGGGAACUCAAAGGAGACUGCCAGUGAUAAACUGGAGGAAGGUGGGGAUGACGUCAAGUCAUCAUGGCCCUUACGACCAGGGCUACACACGUGCUACAAUGGCGCAUACAAAGAGAAGCGACCUCGCGAGAGCAAGCGGACCUCAUAAAGUGCGUCGUAGUCCGGAUUGGAGUCUGCAACUCGACUCCAUGAAGUCGGAAUCGCUAGUAAUCGUGGAUCAGAAUGCCACGGUGAAUACGUUCCCGGGCCUUGUACACACCGCCCGUCACACCAUGGGAGUGGGUUGCAAAAGAAGUAGGUAGCUUAACCUUCGGGAGGGCGCUUACCACUUUGUGAUUCAUGACUGGGGUGAAGUCG
rnacentral:rRNA from 1 species